GACGAACGCUGGCGGCGUGCUUAACACAUGCAAGUCGAACGGUGAAGGGGAGCUUGCUCCCUGGAUCAGUGGCGAACGGGUGAGUAACACGUGGGCAACCUGCCCCAGACUUUGGGAUAACCCCUCGAAAGAGGGGCUAAUACCGAAUACGAACCCUGCAGGCAUCUGCGGGGUUGGAAAGUGCUUCGGUCUGGGAUGGGCCCGGGGCCUAUCAGCUUGUUGGUGAGGUAACGGCUCACCAAGGCGACGACGGGUAGCCGGCCUGAGAGGGCGAUCGGCCACACUGGGACUGAGACACGGCCCAGACUCCUACGGGAGGCAGCAGUGGGGAAUAUUGCGCAAUGGGCGAAAGCCUGACGCAGCAACGCCGCGUGCGGGAUGAAGGCCUUCGGGUUGUAAACCGCUUUCAGCAGGGAAGAAGCGAAAGUGACGGUACCUGCAGAAGAAGCACCGGCUAACUACGUGCCAGCAGCCGCAGUAA
rnacentral:rRNA from 1 species